rnacentral:rRNA from 1 species
UACGUAGGGUGCAAGCGUUGUCCGGAAUUAUUGGGCGUAAAGAGCUCGUAGGCGGUUCGUCGCGUCGGCUGUGAAAGUCCGGGGCUCAACUCCGGAUCUGCGGUGGGUACGGGCAGACUAGAGUGAUGUAGGGGAGACUGGAAUUCCUGGUGUAGCGGUGAAAUGCGCAGAUAUCAGGAGGAACACCGAUGGCGAAGGCAGGUCUCUGGGCAUUAACUGACGCUGAGGAGCGAAAGCAUGGGGGAGCGAACAGG